GGGUCGGUGGUGUAGUUGGUCUGCACGUAUGCCUGAAGAGCAUGAGGUUCGAGUUCGGUUCUCGGCUGACCCA
rnacentral:tRNA from 1 species